rnacentral:rRNA from 1 species
UACAGAGGUGGCAAGCGUUGUUCGGAAUUACUGGGCGUAAAGGGCGCGUAGGCGGCCUUCUAAGUCAGACGUGAAAUCCCCCGGCUUAACCUGGGAACUGCGUCUGAUACUGGGAGGCUUGAGUAUGGGAGAGGGAUGUAGAAUUCCAGGUGUAGCGGUGAAAUGCGUAGAUAUCUGGAGGAAUACCGGUGGCGAAGGCGAAUCUCUGGACAGUUACUGACACUGAGGCACGAAGGCCAGGGGAGCAAACGGG